UUUCCGUAGGUGAACCUGCGGAAGGAUCAUUACUGAGUGAGGGCCCCUCGGGGUCCAACCUCCCACCCGUGUUUAACGAACCUUGUUGCUUCGGCGGGCCCGCCUCACGGCCGCCGGGGGGCAUCUGCCCCCGGGCCCGCGCCCGCCGAAGCCACCUGUGAACGCUGUCUGAAGUAUGCAGUCUGAGACAAUUAUUAAAUUAAUUAAAACUUUUAACAACGGAUCUCUUGGUUCCG
rnacentral:misc_RNA from 1 species